AGAGGAGACUGUCCCUAUCUGGAAAGUGAGUGUGAGUCCCUCUGCAGGGUUACACGAAGCUGCUUGCCCCCCAGCACAUCGGAAGGGCUUGGAGGAGCAGCCUUCGCAGCCAGCACUCUGCAGGAAGCUUGCACGCAGGAAUAGCUCAAGUGCCUGAACUGGAGGUUGGCUUGCUGAAACUCUGAAGCAGCAGUUCUUGGACUUGAAGAAAAGGAGGUUCCCGCCUUGACCAGAGACCGUGGCCCUUCCUCACAGCCCUCUCAGGACCCACCCUCCCAGCAACCCCCUUGGAAAAGAUGCGGCAGCUCAAGGGGAAGCCGAAGAAGGAGAGCUCCAGGGACAAGAAGGAGCGGAAGCAGGCCAUGCAGGAGGCCCGGCAGCAGAUCACCACGGUGGUGCUGCCCACCCUGGCCGUGGUUGUGCUCCUGAUUGUGGUGUUUGUGUACGUGGCUACACGGCCCACUGUCACCGAGUGAGUGCGCUGCUGGCCCCGGACACCGUGGGCUGGGAGAGGAGGCGCUGGAGGGGGAGACAAGCGCAGAAAUGGCUUUCCUCCUCUGAGAUGUCCGUGACGCUGAGCUAUAUGCGGGAGCACCCUGUCUUCUCUAGUCUUUGACUUGAUUAAAGUUCUCCACUUUUCUUGGGGGGGGAAUAGGGGACGUUUUUAUCAGUGAAUGUGCCAUGUACCUUAUGGUCCACUUCAUGUGCCUUUCAGACUUCAAAAUAGAGUGAGAGAGUGAGAGAGUGUGUGUGUUUUCUCCCCUGAAAUCAGUAGGUAGCUCCACCUGGGGAGACAAGUGUCUCUGGAUCACCAAGCAGCUGGAAUCAGUACUCACUUCACCCCCAUUGUCUGGAACAUGACUCUUUGCUACACGUGUUCACAAUUUCCAAAGGGACUGUAUUUCUCCUCUGUGCUUAAUGUGAUUUGAAAUACUUUGUUGACUCAAAGUGAAAUAUUUAUUUUUUUGAAUAAAGGAGAUAAUAGCCUUAAA